rnacentral:rRNA from 1 species
GUCGAACGGAACUGUUUUGAAAGAUUUCUUCGGAAUGAAUUUGAUUUAGUUUACUUGCGGACGGGUGAGUAACGCGUGAGUAACCUGCCUUCAAGACGGGGAUAACAUUCUGAAAAGAAUGCUAAUACCGCAUGACAUAUCGGAAUCACAUGGUUUUGAUAUCAAAGAUUUUAUCGCUUGAAGAUGGACUCGCGUCCGAUUAGUUAGUUGGUGAGGUAACGGCUCACCAAGACCGCGAUCGGUAGCCGGACUGAGAGGUUGAACGGCCACAUUGGGACUGAGACACGGCCCAGACUCCUACGGGAGGCAGCAGUGGGGGAUAUUGCGCAAUGGGGGCAACCCUGACGCAGCAACGCCGCGUGAAGGAUGAAGGUUUUCGGAUUGUAAACUUCUUUUAUUAAGGACGAAAAAUGACGGUACUUAAUGAAUAAGCUCCGGCUAACUACGUGCCAGCAGCCGCGGUAAUACGUAGGGAGCAAGCGUUGUCCGGAUUUACUGGGUGUAAAGGGUGCGUAGGCGGCUUUGCAAGUCAGAUGUGAAAUCUAUGGGCUCAACCCAUAAACUGCAUUUGAAACUGUAGAGCUUGAGUGAAGUAGAGGCAGGCGGAAUUCCCCGUGUAGCGGUGAAAUGCGUAGAGAUGGGGAGGAACACCAGUGGCGAAGGCGGCCUGCUGGGCUUUAACUGAC